rnacentral:misc_RNA from 1 species
UUAAGUUCAGCGGGUAUCCCUACCUGAUCCGAGGUCAAACUUAGAAAGUAAGGGGGGUUGAUGGCCAGCGUCUAUCGAGUCCCUGUAGCGAGGAGAUUUACUACGCUCAGGGCCCGACGGCACCGCCACUGAUUUAAGGCCCGCUAGGUUAGCAGCGGAGCCCAACACCAAGCAAUGCUUGAGGGUUGUAAUGACGCUCG